GGGUCGUGCGGCGGCGCUGUGAGGGUGGCGUGGUGCGCGGGUCGCGUGCCUACCUCCUAGGGGGUCCCGAGACCCCCGCGGCCAUGGCCUCCCUGCUCGCCAAGGACGCCUACCUGCAGGGUCUGGCCAGGAAGAUCUGCUCCCGGCCCAGCCCGGAGCCGCAGACACGCAAGUCCGGCAGCAAAACUCAAGGCUCAGAAGCUUCUGGGCCCCCAAAGAAGAAGAGGAAGAAGGCGCAGAAGAAAUCCCAGGAGAGGGAGAAGAAGCCUGUGGAGCCAAAGGCCCAACCCCUUGGGGAGAAGUCUUCUCCUCCAGCAGCCAAGGAGGAAGAGGCCUUCACCUCCACGGGGUCCCCUGCAGGGGGCGAUGUGGGCCAGGGCCAGCUGAGAUCAGAUGUCAGUGUCACAGAGCCCGACUCUCUGUUUGCCUUGGAUGUUCUGCGGCAGCGGCUGCAUGAAAAAAUACAGGCGGCCCAGGGCCAGGGCAGCCCCGCGGAGCCGUCUCCCGCCGCCCUGGAGAAAAGACGCCGGAGGAAGCAGGAGCGGGACCGGAAGAAGAGGAAGCGGAGGGAACUGAGGGCAAAGGAGAAGGCGGCAGAGGCUGCGGAGGCUGGCGAGCCCCCCCGCCAGGCGCCCCAAGAGCAGGCGCGGCCCGGGCUGCUCUUCAAUAGGGUGGAGGUGCCUGCCGAGGCGCCGGCGGGCAAGGCCCAGCGCAGGAAGGAGAAGAGGCAGAAGCUGAAGGGGAAGCUGACGCCGCUGACGGGGAAGAACUUCCGGCAGCUGCUGGAGCGCCUGCAGGCGCGGCGGGACCGGCUGGAGGCGCUGCGGGGCCAGGACGAGGGGAAGGCGCGGGAGCUGGAGGCCAAGGAGCGGUGGACCCACGCGCUGUACAAGGCCGAGGGCGUGCGCGUCCGGGACGACGAGCGCCUGCUGCGGGAGGCCCUGAGGCGCAAAGAGAAGCGGCGGGCGCAGCGCGCGCGCAGGUGGGAGAAGCGCUCGGCCCUCGUGGUGCAGCAGAUGCAGCGGCGGCAGGACAGGCGGCGGCAGAACCUGCGCCAGAAGAAGGCGGCCCGGGCCGCGCGGCGCCUGGACAGGGCGCGCAGGAAGGGCCGGAUCCUGCCCCAGGACCUGGAGCGGGCCGGCCUGGCGUGAGGGGACCCCCCCCCGCCCCGCGGCCCCCCAGGCUCCUGGCGCGCUCAGCCCCCACAGCGCGGGCUCUGUCGACUCAGCUGGCGAGCACAAGCAGCGGGGGUCCAGAACGGAGGCCCACGGCCACCAGCCCCGCCAUUCCAGUGGGUGUGAAGGGUCAGCUCACUGUGGCUCUGACCUGAGUUUCCUUGAUGGCUAAUGGCGUGGAGAACCUUUGUGCCUGCGCACUGGCUAUUUGUAUGACUUCUUUGGAGAAGGUGUCUCCUCAAGUCCCUUGCCCAUUCUGAAGUCAGAUGUCUUUUGUUGAGUGAAAUCUCUGGGACCUUUCCUCUGGAGAAAAUGAGAAGACCCAGGAAGCGACCGAGCCCGCUGGGCUGCUUGGA